GUGUUCCUGUUAUUUCCAAGUACCCAAAUCUCCCUUUCGACGAACAAGACGACCCACCGGGCGAAGACUGGGAAGGCGCCAGCGUCUCGGGGAGUCGAGAACGACCCGCGUCAAAAGCCCCAGCUUUGGACGAGGACGGCCCGUCAUCGUCGCCUGAUCACCAGCAAUUGGCCCGAUCGUUUCAGUCUCAAGGCGACAAGCUCGCUGAGGUUGCUUACUGGGAUUGUGCCGUUUUCGAUGCGGGA